rnacentral:rRNA from 1 species
GUGUCAGCAGCCGCGGUAAGACGGAGGGUGCAAGCGUUGUUCGGAUUGACUGGGCGUAAAGGGCGUGUAGGCGGUUCGUUAAGUCGGGUGUGAAAGCCCGGGGCUCAGCUCCGGAAGUGCGCCCGAAACUGGCGAGCUGGAGCGCGGUAGAGGAGGGUGGAAUUCCUGGUGUAGCGGUGAAAUGCGUAGAUAUCAGGAGGAACACCGGCGGCGAAGGCGGCCCUCUGGACCGUUGCUGACGCUGAGACGCGAAAGCGUGGGGAGCAAACAGGAUUAGAUACCCUGGUAGUCC